rnacentral:rRNA from 1 species
GCAUUGGAGAAGGCGCUUAGGCAAAUCCGGGCGCAGGAUUCAAGGGUGUGGCGCGAGCUCCUUCGGGAGCGAAGCAAUUGGAAGUGGUUCCAAGAAAAGCCUCUAAGCUUCAGUCUAACGAUGACCGUACCGCAAACCGACACAGGUGGGCGAGAUGAGUAUUCUAAGGCGCUUGAGAGAACUCGGGAGAAGGAACUCGGCAAAUUGGUACCGUAACUUCGGGAUAAGGUACGCCCUGGUAGCUUGACUGGCCUGCGCCAGAAGGGUGAAGGGGUUGCAAUAAACUGGUGGCUGCGACUGUUUAAUAAAAACACAGCACUCUGCAAA